AUUUCCUUCUAGGUCGAAGUACUGGCUGUACAGGGGCGUCCAUCCAUUUAUUCCAAUGGUGCUGAAGACUUGAUGAAUCGUUUCCUUCCAAACAUUCAGGCCCACACAGAUUCAAACCCACUCCUGAUGAAGGGAAAGAAACAAGCUACGGACUCUGUCCUUCGGACGAAUUGCAGACAUCCAGAUUUUCACAGUCUGGGCCGAGGUGAAUCCUGUGGGGGAGGGGAUGGAGUGGUGACCUGUUGAGAUGCACAAAAAGGAGGGGAAAGAUCGUGCCUGUAUCACACAUCUUCAGAACGAAGGGAUGGAAGGAAACCCGUGAGGCAAAUGGAGUUCCAUAUCCUCAGGGACAGUCUGUCGGGGGAUAUUUCCUUCAGAGCUUCACCGGCUGUGUAUACAUUUUACAUAUAGCAAGAGUGCUCUGAACUGAUUGUGAACCUCACUUCCAUGGUUCCCAAUUCAAACUGUUAUCAGAAUGGAUGUGUCUACCUCUUGCGUUAGAUCCUGAGGCAUAGCUAAGGAUGAGUAAAUAAAUAAUGCAACAUGCUAAGGAAAAGGCAUCAUAAUUCUAGCAGAGACACGUCUAUUCUCACCCUGUUGUGCUCAUUAACCUCUAUCAAAUCAGCUCCAAUGAAUAAAUAAUUCACCAAGUGCCUUAUUGUUGCAUUGUUUUGACACUUUUAGAUGUUUAGUCCCAUUACCCAAGUUAACAUAUAUGCCAGCGCUGGAAGGAAAGAUAGCUACUUUUUUUCUUUUAUGUUGUUUUUCUGCUUCUUUGUAUGCAUUACAAGCAUGCAGGAAAACACCACCCGGCCUCAUAUACAAGAGCACAGUCUAUUGCAGAUGUACUGCUUAAUCAGAGACGACUUCAGUGGAUAUUACAAUUCCAAAAUAGCUUUCUCUCCGGUGGAGAGCUUCAUUCUGUCUUGUGCAUAAGUCCAGAUAGGCUGAUCCUUAUUCCUCACAGCUGUAUGUCCUCAGUGGCAGACAAUAGUUUUCCAUUAGAGGAAGUGAUUCUCACUGGAGCCUCAGGCCAAGCGUCAGACAAUGGCACAGCGACCUAAAGCUCACAUCUCAGGCUCCCAGAGUCAACUCUCAUCACCUCCAGAGGCUGAUUUCCACUCUGCAGUGGCUUAAAGGGACAGGCUUAUCUGAAGUGAGCUUGUCCAAGUUAAUAAAGUUAAAAGCAACUUAUUUGAUUAGGAAUGCAUACAAGGGAGGAUGCAGUCAUCUAUCACUGGCAGACGAGUCAAUUUCAGCGCUAGAUCGAUGGUGAGCAGACCAGCAAAAUUAGAAAGUGCUAAAAGGCUGUGAAAACCUUUUUUUCCAGUUAACUUCUUACUGUGAGGUAUGGGGUCCUACUGAACCCGCUGUGCUCUGUUUCAAGGUUACACUGAAUUAGUUUUUGAAUAAGAGUUGUUUGUUGUAUUUGUUUUUCCUUUCAAACAUUUCAAACAGACAAACAGGUAGACUGGGCUUAAAUAUAUUUGAAUCAAAGUAAGUCUUGUUGUGUGUUUGUUAGCGUUAUUGUCAAAUCUGUCAAACGCAUAGACUACUAGAAAGCGAUAUGGCAUUCAGAAUAUAGACUCACCAAAAGUUUUAACCUUUUUUUUUUAAACUAGACUUUAUUGGUGAGUCAAAAUAUGCGGUCUUUAUGUCCAAAUGACCAGUUAAAUCAAAGCUAGUUUAUAUAAACACCUAAGGCAUUUUAAACUGGCUUCAAGUUCAAGUUCAAGACUUGCUUUUGGGGGCUGACAGACCAUUAGACUAGCUUAACUUAACCAGUUAGUUUAGCUUAGCAUACUGUAAGACCUUGCGUUACAUUUUUUUUUUUCCAAAAAAUGAAAUAUCCUGGGAUGUAUAAGUGGGACUAUUUCUUGACCAGAGAUCAGAGCGUCGUGGAUCAUUUUCUGACUGUCUUUGAGUUCCCCUUGAAAAAUGUUGGUAGGGGGAUUUUACUGCACUUGUUUUAUUUAUUUAUUUAUUUAUUUUAAUAUGCCUAACUGAGCUCAAUCUGGCUCCUUAUUUGUUUUAUCUCAUCAUAAGCUAGCACGUAUUUCAUGUGAAGAGACCCUGAAAAGACUUGCACAGAACAGGUUCAAGCUGAAGACCCACUUGCAGCAGUGGCAGCCCUGCUAACUACUCAGACUUUUUUUUAAUACUCAUACAAAUAAUCUUUAAGAAUAUUAAAAAGUAUUUAUGCUAUCAA